rfam:Heterocephalus glaber contig97265, whole genome shotgun sequence.
GGAGAUGUAGCUUAGUGGCAGAGCGCUUGCCUAGCAUGCAUGAAGCCCUGGGUUCAAUUCCCCAGUACCUCA